CUCUGGACAGAACACUAUCCCUAGUUUACUUUUCCCUACGCACUCUCUCCACCGCAGCCUCUCCUCAGCCCUCGGCCCACUGCAUUUAUUACUGUAAUUUGAAAACACCUUAGAAUCGGCAAAUCGGAUUGGGUAUAGUCCGAUUCAACAUUAUUUCAGUCCGAUUCGAAGUAGCACGAACCGAUUCCGUCACGAUUAAGCGUGUUAAGACCUUGAACGAAAUAGUGUUCUUGAGAUAAGCAGCAAAAACGCCAUCGCGAGAGAGAGAGAGAGAGAGAGAGAGAGAGAGAGAGAGAGAGAGAGAAACUCUUCGGGAAGCACAUAUUUCCUCGGCAGAUCAUACUUGCUGCAUCUGCGCUUCUGUUCUUAGCAUCAACGACGUACGACGUUCAUAGAUCUAUAAAGAACAAUGAGACACCUCCUUCAAAGGAACAAAUGGAAGCCCUUGAAGAUUACAUCAGGUCUGUUCGUCGAUCUCCUUAGAUAAUGAUAUAUAGAUCUCCUUAAAUUUUAUUAUUCCAUGUAAAUUUCUAUUUUAAUAAGCUCUUCUUCUUCUGCUAAGGAGCAUAUAAAAUCCACUUUGUUUCAAAAUAAUUUAUAGAAUAAGAUGUUAAUGUGAUCUCUGUACAUAAGAAACAAUCUUUCAUAAAGAAAAAAAAAAAUGCCCUUGAGGUGUUUGUGAAUUUGAUUCUGAAAGGGGCCUAAAAUUUAAAUGAUUCAGGUCAGGUUUGGUUCUUAGCUGCUUCCUCUUGUGUACAAUUAAGAAUCAAGUUCUCCCUAUGAGAUUUCUUACAUGGCUACUCUGUGUCACACUGUUCAUCUGGUUUCUUAUCCUGAGUGACAACCUCUUUGAAGCUCUAAAACCCUGUGCCAGAUUCAUUCACACACCACAAUCAUCCCUGGAUUUCUAAAGCAAAAGCACCAGAAUCUAAUCUAAUCAAUGACAGUUGUUGACUUAAUACAAGAAAUUCUACAGAUUUCAUUUGUUUGAUGGAUGAACUGGAUUGGAAACAUUCCCCACAUAUGGCUACCGAAGAGGGGAUUGUCCACUGAAGCCAUAUGAAAGUUAGCUAGACAGUCUUCCAUUGGGAUUAGAAUAUUAGAAGUAUGGAUCAUAUUAUAAACUAAAGAUGCCCAGUUUAAUUAUAAUUACAAACUCACCCAUGUUAAGUGUGGAAUAGAAAAGUUCCAAGAGGAUAUAUCAGGAGUGCUUUAGAGGGGAAAGAUUCAUUAAGACAAGCUGACAGAAAGAACAACAGAGUUUGAAUCAGCAAGAUGACCAUGCCUAAAACUUCUGAUGGAAUCUCAUCAUUCUUUGGAACCAUUCACAUUUGUAGACCCUUAGGUGUCCUGCUCAUAUGUUAAGUUUCAGCACAAAUGGAGUUUGCCAAGCGGCAAAAUGGAGCUUUGAAAAAUCUUAGAAAUGGGAGAAUGUGUAGUAUGGUAAGCAUAUGGUACACUGUGGAAUUACAUGGGAUGCAUGCCAAUGCAGGGACAUUGGCAUAUAAAUUUGUAGACCUUCCCCUGUCUAUGCAGCAGUUCGAAAUUGACACAUAAUCCGAGACACAGCAGAAUUAGGGAUCCUAUGGAGAAAAGCUUCUUCAUGUGUCUUAAAAAUGCAGAAGUACUCACAAAAAGGGGGUAAAAAGCCUAAUACGAAUUAAAUCCAUCAAGGUGUCAAGCAUCUUAGAAGUAGUAACAAGUCAAAACCAAUUGUCAACAAUGUUUGUUCUAUCCAAAAAAUAAAAAAUAAAAUAAAAUAAAGAAAAGAAAAGAAAAGAAAAGAAAAGAAAAGAAAAGAGAAGAAAAGUGCAACCGUGAAGUAAUACAUUUUUAACAACCUUAAAUGUGGCAGGUUAAAAAUGGCAGGAGAUAGCCCUAUAAGGAGGUAGAAUUUUCAAAACUAGCAAUUGAAUGUAAGAGAAUAUUAGAGAGAAAAGUUGCAAAGUGCUAGAAAAAUAAGAACAAUGUUGGCUUGAGGAGCCAAAAACUCAAGAAUCUCAAUCAAAUGAUAUCGUGACUGUUACAAAUGCUUAUCCCAAAAGCUUGAGUUGUUGAGUAACGGUUAUAAUAAUGUAUAUCAAUACAACCCCAACACACGCGCAUGCGACUUGACUCAUGACAUUAUCACGUGGCACAACAUAUAACACAAACACCUUGCAUUUAUCAGAGAUUGAACACCUGGCCACCUAGCUUUGAUACCAUAUUACAAUCUUUUGUCCCAAAAGCUUGAGCUGUUAAGUGAGGGCCACAGUAAUGUACAUCAACACACAACAAGAAGAACCAAACCAAACUUUUCUAGAUACAAAUAUAGUGCCAAAACACUUGGACUUGGUGAGAUGAAAUGGUCUCCUCCCUCAAAAGCAAGGGAACAGUUAGGUGUGGAUUGAUUUUCUCCAAAGAAUUUCAAAUCUUGAAAUGAUAUUGUAGCUCGCAAGUGAGAACAACAUUCUAGUUAAUAAAUAAGAAGUCUCUGAUGGAGAGUGAAGGAGAUGUUUUUUUUUUAUUUUAAAUGAAGAUGUUUGCAGAUAUCUAAAAUGAUUUCACAAAUCUGAACAAGAUUGACCAGUUUUUGGUAGCUGUAGAUCAAGAAAAUUUUAAAAAAUAAUUUUGAAAAUUAAAACCAGGAAAAGAAUAAACAAAAAUAAGUGCCUCUGACCAGGGUUGAGGAAUUGGGAUCAAAUUGGCAGAAAUGGUCUACACUGUUCAUGAUUUUAGCCGAUUCAGAUCGGAAUUUUUAGGGCUAUUGGCUGAUUCUGGCCAAUUCUUGUCGAUAUGGAUUGCAAUUUCGAUCUCUUGAACCAUGCCGUUGGCACAAAACAGAUCAAUAAGAUUGUAGAAA